GAUGAACGCUAGCUACAGGCUUAACACAUGCAAGUCGCGGGACCGGCGCACGGGUGAGUAACGCGUAUCCAACCUGCCCUUCACCCCGGGAUAACCCGGCGAAAGUCGGACUAAUACCGUAUGGUGAAGGAUGGGGAUGCGUCCGAUUAGCUUGACGGCGGGGUAACGGCCCACCGUGGCUACGGUCGGUAGGGGUUCGGAGAGGAAGGUCACCCACACUGGAACGGAGACAAGGUCCAGAAUCCUACGGGAGGCAGCAGUGAGGAAGAUUGGUCAAUGUGCGUAAGCCUGAACCAGCCAAGUAGCGUGCAGGACGACGGCCUAUGGGUUGUAAACUGCUUUUAUGCGGGGAUAGGUACCGCAUGAAUAAGGACCGGCUAAUUCCGUGCCAGCAGCCGCGGUAAUUC
rnacentral:rRNA from 1 species